rnacentral:rRNA from 1 species
UACGAAGGGGGCUAGCGUUGCUCGGAAUCACUGGGCGUAAAGCGCACGUAGGCGGACUCUUAAGUCGGGGGUGAAAUCCUGGAGCUCAACUCCAGAACUGCCUUCGAUACUGGGAGUCUUCGAGUUCGGGAGAGGAGAGUGGAACUGCGAGUGUAGAGGUGAAAUUCGUAGAUAUUCGCAAGAACACCAGUGGCGAAGGCGGCUCACUGGCCCGAUACUGACGCUGAGGUGCGAAAGCGUGGGGAGCAAACAGG